GAUGAACGCUGGCGGCGUGCCUAAUACAUGCAAGUCGAGCGAACAGACGAGGAGCUUGCUCCUCUGACGUUAGCGGCGGACGGGUGAGUAACACGUGGUUAACCUACCUAUAAGACUGGGAUAACUUCGGGAAACCGGAGCUAAUACCGGAUAAUAUAUUGAACCGCAUGGUUCAAUAGUGAAAGACGGUUUUGCUGUCACUUAUAGAUGGAUCCGCGCCGCAUUAGCUAGUUGGUAAGGUAACGGCUUACCAAGGCAACGAUGCGUAGCCGACCUGAGAGGGUGAUCGGCCACACUGGAACUGAGACACGGUCCAGACUCCUACGGGAGGUAGCAGUAGGGAAUCUUCCGCAAUGGGCGAAAGCCUGACGGAGCAACGCCGCGUGAGUGAUGAAGGUCUUCGGAUCGUAAAACUCUGUUAUUAGGGAAGAACAAAUGUGUAAGUAACUAUGCACGUCUUGACGGUACCUAAUCAGAAAGCCACGGCUAACUACGUG
rnacentral:rRNA from 1 species